ACCUGACUGCUAUCGGAUUGAUACUAAGCCAUGCGAGUCAUUGUAGCAAUACAAGGCAUACGGCUCAGUAACGCGUAGUCAACCUAACCUAUGGACGGGAAUAACCUCGGGAAACUGAGAAUAAUGCCCGAUAGAACACUAUACCUGGAAUGGUUUGUGUUCCAAAUGAUUUAUCGCCAUAGGAUGGGACUGCGGCCUAUCAGUUUGUUGGUGAGGUAAUGGCCCACCAAGACUAUUACAGGUACGGGCUCUGAGAGGAGUAGCCCGGAGAUGGGUACUGAGACACGGACCCAGGCCCUAUGGGGCGCAGCAGGCGAGAAAACUUUGCAAUGUGCGAAAGCACGACAAGGUUAAUCCGAGUGAUUUGUGCUAAACGAAUCUUUUGUUAGUCCUAGAAACACUAACGAAUAAGGGGUGGGCAAGUUCUGGUGUCAGCCGCCGCGGUAAAACCAGCACCUCAAGUGGUCAGGAUGAUUAUUGGGCCUAAAGCAUCCGUAGCCGGCUCUGUAAGUUUUCGGUUAAAUCUGUACGCUUAACGUACAGGCUGCCGGGAAUACUGCAGAGCUAGGGAGUGGGAGAGGUUGACGGUACUCGGUAGGAAGUGGUAAAAUGCUUUGAUCUAUCGAUGACCACCUGUGGCGAAGGCGGUCUACCAGAACACGUCCGACGGUGAGGGAUGAAAGCUGGGGGAGCAAACCGGAUUAGAUACCCGGGUAGUCCCAGCUGUAAACUAUGCAAACUCAGUGAUGCAUUGGCUUGUGGCCAAUGCAGUGCUGCAGGGAAGCCGUUAAGUUUGCCGCCUGGGAAGUACGUACGCAAGUAUGAAACUUAAAGGAAUUGGCGGGGGAGCACCACAAGGGGUGAAGCCUGCGGUUC
rnacentral:rRNA from 1 species